CUUUUUGUAGUUUAACGGAUAAAACAAUUGGCUACGAACUAAUAGAUAACAGUUCGAUUCUGUUCAAAAAGU
rnacentral:tRNA from 1 species